rnacentral:lncRNA from 1 species
UCCAUGUUCUUAUCAUGUAUACUUGUGGCAUAGUAGUAUAGCAUUUCAUUAUAUGCUUUUAUUUCCGCAGUUGUUAUUUCAUUUUCUAUAUCUGCUCAUGACUUGGGCCUAGUGGUGCAUUUUGCUAAGGUCGGUAAUUUGCCCACUGGGAACUAUAAAUUAUAGUUCUCACGCCCCCUGUUUUAUGUUUUCUUUCAGAGCCUUCCACUCCGGGAGAGGCUCGAGAUCGCGGGAAAGGUUUCGCCUCGAGUUAGCUAUCGAGGGACUUGGUGAUAGGUGGUCCACCUCUCUUUUGUUUUCUUUUGGAGAGGUUGUGAGAGUUUUGUACCUGGUUAUAGAGACCACCCUGUCUUUGUAUCUUGAGAUUUAUGAUGUAUUAGUUUACAUUCUGCUUUAGUAGUUUAGUUCUCUUUUGACUCUGCUUGUCGAUAGAACCUAGCUGUGUUUUUGCUCUGAUAUCUCUAGAUACUUUCUACUUCUUGUUCAUUUAUUCGAUAUUGUUGUAGACGCCUUAUAUGUGCAAACAUAUGGCGGGUCUGGGCACGCACCGG